CCUACGGGUUGCAGCAGUGGGGAAUAUUGCACAAUGGGCGGAAGCCUGAUGCAGCAACGCCGCGUGCGGGAUGACGGCCUUCGGGUUGUAAACCGCUUUCGCCUGUGACGAAGCGUGAGUGACGGUAAUGGGUAAAGAAGCACCGGCUAACUACGUGCCAGCAGCCGCGGUGAUACGUAGGGUGCGAGCGUUGUCCGGAUUUAUUGGGCGUAAAGGGCUCGUAGGUGGUUGAUCGCGUCGGAAGUGUAAUCUUGGGGCUUAACCCUGAGCGUGCUUUCGAUACGGGUUGACUUGAGGAAGGUAGGGGAGAAUGGAAUUCCUGGUGGAGCGGUGGAAUGCGCAGAUAUCAGGAGGAACACCAGUGGCGAAGGCGGUUCUCUGGGCCUUUCCUGACGCUGAGGAGCGAAAGCGUGGGGAGCGAACAGGAUUAGAUACCCGAGUAGUC
rnacentral:rRNA from 1 species